AAGGGACAAGUUGGAGCUGUUGAUCUGUUGCGCAAUUGCUAUUUUCCCCAGAGCGGCUUUGUCUUUGGAUUUAGCGUUUCAGAAUUGCAAUUCCAAAAUGUGUAAGACGGGAUAUUCUCUUCUGUGCUGUCAAGGGACAUGGAUUUGAUUGACAUACUUUGGAGGCAAGAUAUAGAUCUUGGAGUAAGUCGAGAAGUAUUUGACUUCAGUCAGCGACGGAAAGAGUAUGAGCUGGAAAAACAGAAAAAACUUGAAAAGGAAAGACAAGAACAACUCCAAAAGGAGCAAGAGAAAGCCUUUUUCGCUCAGUUACAACUAGAUGAAGAGACAGGUGAAUUUCUCCCAAUUCAGCCAGCCCAGCACAUCCAGUCAGAAACCAGUGGAUCUGCCAACUACUCCCAGGUACAGAGUACUCAGUUCUUGGGAAAGUUAUGGCAGGUUUAAGGAAACACUGAGCAAGGAAUUAAAAUAUCUGGAUUUGAGUUCCAGCUUUGCCUUUCUUUUACUUAUCCUUGUCAAAUCUACUUUCCAAACUCAGCCUCCUAAUGAGUUCAGUACCCAACCUGAGUUCAGUACCCAACCUAUUGAUCUUAACAGUGUUAUUGUGAGGAUUGGGAAGACUUAAGUUACACCAAAGAGUUUUGUAAAGUAUAGAAACAUCCUGUAAGGAUCAAGUAGCAGCAACAGAAGUAGUAGCAGGAGAACCAAGUAGCAGGGAUUACUGGCGUUACUGUGUGUGGCAAGCACUGUUUUAAGAACAUAUACUGACUGAUUUAAUUAACACAAGUAUAUUAAUUAGUUACCGUUAUCCCUGUUUUAUCUGCGAUGAGCAACUGAAGCUCAAAAAGGUUAAAUAAUUUGCCCAGAUCACUCAGAAAAUUGGAGGAGCUAAGAUUUGAACCCACGUGAUCUAGUUCAAAUUGUGCAUCA
rnacentral:sRNA from 1 species